GGCAAAAUGAUGAGAAUUUGGUUUCUGAAUUCCGGUGUGGAGAUUCUUUAUCCAGUAAUGGUCUUCAAAGUUCUCUGAUUGCC
rnacentral:snoRNA from 1 species